AAGACCUUGCGCUUUUGGAGCGGCCGAUGCCUGAUUAGCUUGUUGGUAAGGUAAAAGCUUACCAAGGCUUCGAUCAGUAGCUGGUCUGAGGGGACGGCCAGCCACACUGGGACUGAGACACGGCCCAGACUCCUACGGGAGGCAGCAGUGGGGAAUUUUGGACAAUGGGGGCAACCCUGAUCCAGCCAUGCCGCGUGAGUGAAGAAGGCCUUCGGGUUGUAAAGCUCUUUCAGCCGGAACGAAACGGUUACGGUUAAUACCCGUGAUUACUGACGGUACCGGAAGAAGAAGCACCGGCUAACUACGUGCCAGCAGCCGCGGUAAUACGUAGGGUGCGAGCGUUAAUCGGAAUUACUGGGCGUAAAGGGUGCGCAGGCGGUCUUGUAAGUCAGAUGUGAAAUCCCCGGGCUCAACCUGGGAACU
rnacentral:rRNA from 1 species